GGGUUGUGAGGUUAAGCGACUAAGCGUACACGGUGGAUGCCCUGGCAGUCAGAGGCGAUGAAGGACGUGCUAAUCUGCGAAAAGCGUCGGUAAGGUGAUAUGAACCGUUACAGCCGGCGAUGUCCGAAUGGGGAAACCCAGUGCAAUUCGUUGCACUAUCGUUAACUGAAUACAUAGGUUAACGAGGCGAACCGGGGGGAACUGAAACAUCUAAGUACCCCGAGGAAAAGAAAUCAACCGAGAUUCCCCCAGUAGCGGCGAGCGAACGGGGAGCAGCCCAGAGUCUGAAUCAGCUUGUGUGUUAGUGGAACGGUCUGGAAAGUCCGACGGUACAGGGUGAUAGUCCCGUACACCAAAAUGCACAGGCUGUGAACUCGAAGAGUAGGGCGGGACACGUGGUAUCCUGUCUGAAUAUGGGGGGACCAUCCUCCAAGGCUAAAUACUCCUGACUGACCGAUAGUGAACCAGUACCGUGAGGGAAAGGCGAAAAGAACCCCGGCGAGGGGAGUGAAAAAGAACCUGAAACCGUGUACGUACAAGCAGUGGGAGCACCUUCGGGUGUGACUGCGUACCUUUUUGUAUAAUGGGUCAGCGACUUAUAUUCUGUAGCAAGGUUAACCGUAUAGGGGAGCCGCAGGGAAACCGAGUCUUAACUGGGCGUUAAGUUGCAGGGUAUAGACCCGAAACCCGGUGAUCUAGCCAUGGGCAGGUUGAAGGUUGGGUAACACUAACUGGAGGACCGAACCGACUAAUGUUGAAAAAUUAGCGGAUGACUUGUGGCUGGGGGUGAAAGGCCAAUCAAACCGGGAGAUAGCUGGUUCUCCCGAAAGCUAUUUAGGUAGCGCCUCGUGAACUCAUCUUCGGGGGUAGAGCACUGUUUCGGCUAGGGGGUCAUCCCGACUUACCAACCCGAUGCAAACUACGAAUACCGAAGAAUGUUAUCACGGGAGACACACGGCGGGUGCUAACGUCCGUCGUGAAGAGGGAAACAACCCAGACCGCCAGCUAAGGUCCCAAAGUCAUGGUUAAGUGGGAAACGAUGUGGGAAGGCACAGACAGCCAGGAUGUUGGCUUAGAAGCAGCCAUCAUUUAAAGAAAGCGUAAUAGCUCACUGGUCGAGUCGGCCUGCGCGGAAGAUGUAACGGGGCUAAACCAUGCACCGAAGCUGCGGCAGCGACACUAUGUGUUGUUGGGUAGGGGAGCGUUCUGUAAGCCUGCGAAGGUGACCUGUGAGGGUUGCUGGAGGUAUCAGAAGUGCGAAUGCUGACAUAAGUAACGAUAAAGCGGGUGAAAAGCCCGCUCGCCGGAAGACCAAGGGUUCCUGUCCAACGUUAAUCGGGGCAGGGUGAGUCGACCCCUAAGGCGAGGCCGAAAGGCGUAGUCGAUGGGAAACAGGUUAAUAUUCCUGUACUUGGUGUUACUGCGAAGGGGACGGAGAAGGCUAUGUUAGCCGGGCGACGGUUGUCCCGGUUUAAGCAUGUAGGCUGGUUGUCCAGGCAAAUCCGGAUAAUCAAGGCUGAGGUGUGAUGACGAGGCACUACGGUGCUGAAGUAACAAAUGCCCUGCUUCCAGGAAAAGCCUCUAAGCAUCAGGUAACAUUAAAUCGUACCCCAAACCGACACAGGUGGUCAGGUAGAGAAUACCAAGGCGCUUGAGAGAACUCGGGUGAAGGAACUAGGCAAAAUGGUGCCGUAACUUCGGGAGAAGGCACGCUGGUGUGUAGGUGAAGUCCCUGCGGAUGGAGCUGAGACCAGUCGAAGAUACCAGCUGGCUGCAACUGUUUAUUAAAAACACAGCACUGUGCAAACACGAAAGUGGACGUAUACGGUGUGACGCCUGCCCGGUGCCGGAAGGUUAAUUGAUGGGGUUAUCCGUAAGGAGAAGCUCUUGAUCGAAGCCCGGUAAACGGCGGCCGUAACUAUAACGGUCCUAAGGUAGCGAAAUUCCUUGUCGGGUAAGUUCCGACCUGCACGAAUGGCGUAAUGAUGGCCAGGCUGUCUCCACCCGAGACUCAGUGAAAUUGAACUCGCUGUGAAGAUGCAGUGUACCCGCGGCAAGACGGAAAGACCCCGUGAACCUUUACUAUAGCUUGACACUGAACAUUGAGCCUUGAUGUGUAGGAUAGGUGGGAGGCUUUGAAGCGUGGACGCCAGUCUGCGUGGAGCCAACCUUGAAAUACCACCCUUUAAUGUUUGAUGUUCUAACGUUGGCCCCUUACCGGGGUUGCGGACAGUGUCUGGUGGGUAGUUUGACUGGGGCGGUCUCCUCCCAAAGCGUAACGGAGGAGCACGAAGGUUAGCUAAUCCCUGGUCGGACAUCAGGAGGUUAGUGCAAUGGCAUAAGCUAGCUUGACUGCGAGCGUGACGGCGCGAGCAGGUGCGAAAGCAGGUCAUAGUGAUCCGGUGGUUCUGAAUGGAAGGGCCAUCGCUCAACGGAUAAAAGGUACUCCGGGGAUAACAGGCUGAUACCGCCCAAGAGUUCAUAUCGACGGCGGUGUUUGGCACCUCGAUGUCGGCUCAUCACAUCCUGGGGCUGAAGUAGGUCCCAAGGGUAUGGCUGUUCGCCAUUUAAAGUGGUACGCGAGCUGGGUUUAGAACGUCGUGAGACAGUUCGGUCCCUAUCUGCCGUGGGCGCUGGAGAAUUGAGGGGGGCUGCUCCUAGUACGAGAGGACCGGAGUGGACGCAUCACUGGUGUUCGGGUUGUCAUGCCAAUGGCACUGCCCGGUAGCUAAAUGCGGAAGAGAUAAGUGCUGAAAGCAUCUAAGCACGAAACUUGCCCCGAGAUGAGUUCUCCCUGAGACUUUAAGUCUCCUGAAGGAACGUUAAAGACGAUGACGUUGAUAGGCCGGGUGUGUAAGCGCAGCGAUGCGUUGAGCUAACCGGUACUAAUGAACCGUGAGGCUUAACCUUACAACGCCGAAG
rnacentral:rRNA from 1 species